CGCCACGCCGCUUCUUGCCUGGUGCGUCCUCUAGGUCACAGCCGGACGCUCGGCUAGCUAGCCAACUAGCCUGUAUGCUGUCUCGCCGCAUACAACGUGAGUGCCUGUCUUGCGGCUCUGCUGUAUCGUAAGAAACUGAUCUACAGGCAAGUAAGGUUCCGUUUGGAAUACUAAAUUUCCUGAUCCCUAGGCGGUUGAG